UACCAGCACCCCGAGUGGUCGGGACGUUUUAUUGGGCCUAAAGCAUCCGUAGCCGGUUCUACAAGUCUUCCGUUAAAUCCAGCUGCUUAACAGAUGGGCUGCGGAAGAUACUAUGGAGCUAGGAGGCGGGAGAGGCAAGCGGUGACUCGAUGGGUAGGGGUAAAAUCCGUUGAUCCAUUGAAGACCACCAGUGGCGAAGGCGGCUUGCCAGAACGCGCUCGACGGUGAGGGAUGAAAGCUGGGGGAGCAACCGG
rnacentral:rRNA from 1 species